rnacentral:rRNA from 1 species
UACGAAGGGGGCUAGCGUUGCUCGGAAUCACUGGGCGUAAAGGGUGCGUAGGCGGGUCUUUAAGUCAGGGGUGAAAUCCUGGAGCUCAACUCCAGAACUGCCUUUGAUACUGAAGAUCUUGAGUUCGGGAGAGGUGAGUGGAACUGCGAGUGUAGAGGUGAAAUUCGUAGAUAUUCGCAAGAACACCAGUGGCGAAGGCGGCUCACUGGCCCGAUACUGACGCUGAGGCACGAAAGCGUGGGGGAUCAAACAGG